AAGAAAUGAAAAUGAAAUUGAAAAUGAUUAUGAAUAAGGAUUAUUAUUAUUAUGAUUAAGGGGAAAUGGAGAAGAAAGGGAUUGAAUUUUUUAGGGUUUUUCGUGGAAAGGGGGGGAUGGAUGAUGAUUGAGAGGGUCUGGGUGAUGGCCGUCCCUGUUGACCCUCUGAGGACGAACGAAUCAAAGACGCGACAACCCCAACGAUUAGAUUUUU
rnacentral:lncRNA from 1 species